rnacentral:lncRNA from 1 species
AAGAUUAACAGACAAAAAAAAAAAAAAAAGUGCACACAGAAACAAAAAAACAAGUGGCUGCUGCAAGAUUGUCACAAAAAAUUGAACUGAUUCAGAUGGGAGUUUCCAUGACCUCACCAAAGACUGAUGAAGGGGAAUGGGUUCCACAUCACUCCUCCUUCCCAACCAGAAUCUUCCCAUUGUCAAAGUCACAAGUAAUACAAAACAAAGACCUAAGACACACAUACAAUGACCACUCUGGAAAUACAGAUGGCCGGGAGGGCAGGUCUUUUCUCCAAUCCAGGAGAUUCACCGAAUCCUCACUGGCACCCAGACGGGAAUCUCCCAGGCAUCUCUGGGGUCCCUUCUCACCUCCUGGGACGUCUCCCAGGGCAGUGCAAUCAGUGAGCCCCUGGCACAUCUACCACUCACUUUCAUGUCUCUCCUGAGACACGAGCCUACCUCUCAGCCCGAGAUGGGAGCAACUGUAAAACUAGAACUCCCGAACUCGCGAGCAAAUACAGACCCAGAGUAGCAAAUACAGACUCAGAGUUUAGCC